GGGGGCGAAUCGCCCACCGCCCCCGUGUAUUUUGAGCGCUGAGUGCAACCCCCUCAGGGAACCGGGCAAGUUGAGCCACUAUUAUUCGACCCCUGUUGUAGGGCUAGUAACAUGUCAUAUCAGUCAAACAAAUAUACGUUACAUAUUGAUAGCCACAGGGAGAACAAACAUAUAUAUAUUUUAUUUUUCAGAUGACAUUCAGUACAUACUACAGUGUAGGUUUAUGAAUGAAUAAUGAAUAAUGAUUCAUGAAUUUAUGAGCAAAUCUUUAGAAUGUAAUUAUUUUUUAAUGAUAAGCAAAUAUAGUUUUAUCUUGUAAGGGCUACUUUAGGUGAGUGUAAACUAAUGCACUUAUAUUAUCUUUUAUCACUAGCCAAUGCAAACAUCGUGUAUACUAUUUGCUGUAUGAAUAUCUCAAUGAAUUUUGAUAUGGUCACGGACAUACCCCAAAACGAACCUUAUGGACAUAGCGUAUCUGAGAUUUCUUGACAGGGGGCAGGGGGGGGGGGGUGUCCUCCUCCCAUUGUGAGAGCUUUUUUUGCAUUGGAUGUUUGUAAUCGUUCAGUUUGAUGCAUCGACCUGCAUAUGUUUGUUCUAUGAAAAUAUAAGCUGUAGCCUAUUCAAUUCAAUUUAAACAUCGAAUAGUAAUUUACUAAUCUUCGUAAUUUUAAAGGUCGCUUUAAUAUUUGAGGGGAAACAUCUGCUAAUCUUCCGAGAUAUUCGGCUUGCCUUGAAUAAGUAUGUAAAAACCUUGAUUAAAAACAUAUCACACCCUUGAAACAGGUUAAAUAUGUUACAUUUUCCGUGUAAAUUGUACUUGUCACCAGUCAAACAGAAUCGAAAUUACAAACAAGUAUAACAACCACUACCAAUAUCGUUAACGACAAACAACAACAUACUCAACAAUACAAUGGAUAUCUCCAAUACACUUCGUAUAUUAUUAUGUUAGAAGUUUUUGAGUUUUAUUGUCAUUUUUCCCCUUUUUUUCUGGGGCGGACGGGCAAUGGAGCAGUCUACUCCCCCUCCUUUCGUAUACGCUAGUGCUUUCGAGCUGGAAUGGACGUAUCGCUUUGUUUACCUGUCACGUGGACAUACCAAACCGUUUGAGAGUGAGAUUAUUUUCCUCCUGAUUUACGACGAGACAAUAUAAAGCAACAGAUUUUAAUAUCACAAGCCUUGUAUUUCUAUUUGGUUGUUGUUUAUCGGACCCUAUAAAAUUGAAGAUCAGACUCGUG